AGAAGAAGAAAAGGACUUCCGGUCUUUUAAAUUGAAACAGCAGCAAGCGGUAAAAUAAAUCCACACACGCAUGUUAACAAUGGACGUAAAAGAGGAAACUGAGGAACUGAAUGAAGUGAAAGUAAAAGAGGAACUGAAUAAAGUGGAGGAGAGACAACAGGAACCUCAUGAUGUCAUCACUGUAGAAAAAACUUCUGAUCGCUUACAAACAUCAACUAAGAAAAGAGGAACCAAACAUUCAGUCAUAUCUCAUCAACAUAAAAAGAGUACCAGAAGAAACGGACACCAUAGUGAUGACAUAAGCAAUAAAAAUAAAGAGAGACCUUACACGUGCAACAAGUGUGGAAAGAGUUAAAAAAAUGGAGCCUUAAGGUACACGUAAGGAUUCAUACUGGAGAUAAACUUUACACCUGCCCUCAAUGUGGAAAGCGUUUUAAUCAAAGAAGCCGCCUUACAUCUCAUCUAAGGAUUCACACGGGAGAGAAACCUUACACUUGCACCGAGUGUGGAAAGAGUUUUACAGAGAAAUGACCGCUUAAGACUCACUUAACAGUUCACAGCGGUGAGAAACCUUUCACUUGCCUUCAGUGUGGAAAGAGUUUUUUACAAAAAGGACUCUUCAGAGUUCACACUGGUGACAGACCUUACACGUGUCCUCAGUGUGGAAAGGGUUUUACAACUCCAUCAAAACUCAAAAUUCACCAGCAAUCUCAUUCUGGAGAAAAAUCAUUCAGCUGUGAUGUUUGCGGAAAGAAAUGUUCCUAAAAAUACACCAGAAAAUCCAUGCCAGUGAAAAGCCUCACUCGUGUUCAGUUUGUGGAAAGAGUUUUCCAGUGAUUGACUAUUUGAAAAUACACCAGAAAAUUAAUACUGGUGAGAGAACUCACAUGUGCUCUGAGUGUGGAAAAUCAUUUUAUACAGCUGGAGCCUUGACACGGCACCAAAAAAUCCACACUGGAGAAAAAACAUGCGCGUGUUCACAUUGUAGAAAGAGAUUCACUCAUUUAUGUAACCUUAAGAGACAAGAGAGAGUUCACAUUGGACAGAAGCCAUAUGCGUGUUCACAUUGUGGAAAAGGAUUCACUAAUUUAAGUAACUGUAAGGAUCAUUUAUAUCGAUCAGAAAUCACUCAUAAAUAAUUUUUUUCUCACAUAUUUAUGUUACUAAAUCAAGAAAGUGAAAAAAGAAACGCUAAUUUAAUGUAAGUCUCUGAGGUAAAAACAAAAAGCCGUUAUUUUUUUAAUUAUGCGAAUUCGCGCUUUUUGCUGAGAACAAAAGCGGGUACUCGUGAAGAGCGCGAGGUAAGACAUAACAGACGUGCACACUUAUGAAUAAUGGGUUUAAUUAUGCUUUUAUUUAAUUUCCUCAACAAACAAACAAACAAAAAAAACAUUACCAAAAAAAUAACCAUUAGAGAACGUUCUGUACAAGUUAUUUUUAGGUUAUUUAAAAAUAACCACCCUGCAACGUUAUGGGAAAGUUAUGUUAUGGUUGCAAAAAUAAAACCUAAAAAGAACGUGUUUGGUUCCCAAAAAACUAACGUUAGGGUAACGUCUUUGUUUGCUGGGAUUCUCAAUGGUCUGUGUAUGUGUAAUGAUGACGAUUACCUUUGUCUGACUAGAAGCAGAUUUAGCAGGUGUUAUUAUAUCAAAACAGUGGAAAGUUACUGUUUCACAACAUUUACAUGACAUUAAUAUAAACCUUGAGAUAGAGACCAUAUUGGAGACUCAUAUUAACAUUAAAAGAAAACACAGCUCUAACAUAAGAUUUAAACAACAUAAUAGAAUAACUAGAAUGAAAAGAAUAUAAUAUAAACUAAAUAUAAAUAAAAAUAGAAAAGAAUAAUACAAAUAAGAAGGGAAUGGUAAAAUAAAUGAUAUAUGUAAUAAAUGAAUUAAAAACAAAUAAUAAGCUGGACAUCUGAAAAAUGGGUUAUGGCACCAAGCUUACGAAGAUGCAGUCUUGAUCAGCGACACCUAUCUGCGAGGUGUGAUAUUGCUUAAGGCGAACAAUUAUUUCGUCUUUGCACAUUGACCGUGGUGCGAUAAAGCAGCAGAGCAAACCGUGCUUUCACUGAGACGGCAUAAUUUAAACUUGACUCAUAGCACUAAAGCACACACAAACACACACAUGCACAGACAGACACAGUCACAUCAUUGGUCAAACUGUUCAUCGGGUGAAAGAGGGAAAAUUUGACACUAGCCGGUUGCAAUAGUUACUUAAUGAACAUAUCACAUUCUGUUAAUUUAACAGAUUAAUAAACAUGACGUUGAUUUUUUGAGAGGUAAAAUAUUGCCAUAGUAUUAACAUGUGUUUGUUCGCAUAAGAUGAAUGCCAUUAACAUUUUAGCAUGACUUUUUUCAGGACAUACAAGAAUGAAUAUUUAUAUCACAACAGUUGUAUAUUUGUCAGCAUGGCACAUUCAAUUACACUUUAACUAAAUUACAUUUAAACCCAUUCAAUUUUAGCCAACUAAAUCUAACAUAGAUUUUUUCAACGCUCAACAAUCUUACGCUAUUAUUUGACUAAAUCUAGACUAAACUAAAACAAUUCUGGGGCCAUAUUCACAAAUAAUUUUAAGGCUAAAAGUAGCUCCUAACUGGCAAAUUUAGGAGCAACUCCUAAAAAUAAUGGGCGUGUCACUCCUAACUUUAGGACUCCUAAUUUUUUUUCACUAAGAGUAAUUCACGAAGCAUUUUAGCCCUAAAAGUAGCACCUAAGUCUGGGACAGCUUAAAAGAAGUCGAGAGGACUCCCAACUCACUAAGACCUAUUCACAAAGGAUCGUAAAAUGGCUUUUAGGUGCUAAUUACAUUCUCUACUUCUUAUAUUAUCUAUUGGUUUUCUGUGUUCUCCUCUACAUCUUCUCAUGUAAAGCUGCUUUGCAACAAUUAACACUUGUGAAAAGCGCUAUAUAAAUAAAAUUGAAUAGAAUUG